GAAUUUUAUAUAAGAUUUUAUAGAUUAUUUAAAUUUUUAUAUAUAUAAAAUAUUUAUAUUUAAUUGGGAGGAUUGUUAAAUUAAAUAAACUUUAAUUAAUUUAAUAAAUAUAAAUUAAUAGAAUUUAGAUUGAUUAAUAAAUUAAAUAAGAAAUAAUUACCUUAGGGAUAACAGCGUAAUAUUUUUAGAGAGAUCUUAUUAAUAAGAAUGAUUGC
rnacentral:rRNA from 1 species